CCUACGGGAGACUGCAGUGAGGAAUAUUGGUCAAUGGGCGCGAGCCUGAACCAGCCAAGUAGCGUGAAGGAUGACUGCCCUACGGGUUGUAAACUUCUUUUAUACAGGAAUAAAGUGCGGUACGUGUACCUCUUUGCAUGUACUUUAUGAAUAAGGAUCGGCUAACUCCGUGCCAGCAGCCGCGGUAAUACGGAGGAUCCGAGCGUUAUCCGGAUUUAUUGGGUUUAAAGGGAGCGUAGGUGGGUUGUUAAGUCAGUUGUGAAAGUUUGCGGCUCAACCGUAAAAUUGCAAUUGAUACUGGCAGUCUUGAGUACAGUUGAGGUAGGCGGAAUUCGUGGUGUAGCGGUGAAAUGCUUAGAUAUCACGAAGAACUCCGAUUGCGAAGGCAGCUUACUAAACUGCAACUGACAUUGAUGCUCGAAAGUGUGGGUAUCAAACAGGAUUAGAUACCCUUGUAGUC
rnacentral:rRNA from 1 species